rnacentral:rRNA from 1 species
UACGGAGUUACAAAGGACGACAUUAGACGAAUCAUCUGGAAAGAUGAAUCAAAGAAGGUAAUAAUCCUGUAGUCGAAAAUGUUGUCUCUCUUGAGUGGAUCCUGAGUACGACGGAGCACGUGAAAUUCCGUCGGAAUCUGGGAGGACCAUCUCCUAAGGCUAAAUACUCUCUAGUGACCGAUAGUGAACCAGUACCGUGAGGGAAAGGUGAAAAGCACCCCGGAAGGAGAGUGAAAUAGAACCUGAAACCGUGUGCUUACAAGUAGUCAGAGCCCGUUAAUGGGUGAUGGCGUGCCUUUUGUAGAAUGAACCGGCGAGUUACGAUUUGAUGCAAGGUUAAGCAGUAAAUGUGGAGCCGUAGCGAAAGCGAGUCUGAAUAGGGCGUUUAGUAUUUGGUCGUAGACCCGAAACCAGGUGAUCUACCCUUGGUCAGGUUGAAGUUCAGGUAACACUGAAUGGAGGACCGAACCGACUUACGUUGAAAAGUGAGCGGAUGAACUGAGGGUAGCGGAGAAAUUCCAAUCGAACCUGGAGAUAGCUGGUUCUCUCCGAAAUAGCUUUAGGGCUAGCCUCAAGUGAUGAUUAUUGGAGGUAGAGCACUGUUUGGACGAGGGGCCCCUCUCGGGUUACCGAAUUCAGACAAACUCCGAAUGCCAAUUAAUUUAACUUGGGAGUCAGAACAUGGGUGAUAAGGUCCGUGUUCGAAAGGGAAACAGCCCAGACCACCAGCUAAGGUCCCAAAAUAUAUGUUAAGUGGAAAAGGAUGUGGCGUUGCCCAGACAACUAGGAUGUUGGCUUAGAAGCAGCCAUCAUUUAAAGAGUGCGUAAUAGCUCACUAGUCGAGUGACACUGCGCCGAAAAUGUACCGGGGCUAAACAUAUUACCGAAGCUGUGGAUUGUCCUUUGGACAAUGGUAGGAGAGCGUUCUAAGGGCGUUGAAGCAUGAUCGUAAGGACAUGUGGAGCGCUUAGAAGUGAGAAUGCCGGUGUGAGUAGCGAAAGACGGGUGAGAAUCCCGUCCACCGAUUGACUAAGGUUUCCAGAGGAAGGCUCGUCCGCUCUGGGUUAGUCGGGUCCUAAGCUGAGGCCGACAGGCGUAGGCGAUGGAUAACAGGUUGAUAUUCCUGUACCACCUAUAAUCGUUUUAAUCGAUGGGGGGACGCAGUAGGAUAGGCGAAGCGUGCGAUUGGAUUGCACGUCUAAGCAGUAAGGCUGAGUAUUAGGCAAAUCCGGUACUCGUUAAGGCUGAGCUGUGAUGGGGAGAAGACAUUGAGUCUUCGAGUCGUUGAUUUCACACUGCCGAGAAAAGCCUCUAGAUAGAAAAUAGGUGCCCGUACCGCAAACCGACACAGGUAGUCAAGAUGAGAAUUCUAAGGUGAGCGAGCGAACUCUCGUUAAGGAACUCGGCAAAAUGACCCCGUAACUUCGGGAGAAGGGGUGCUCUUUAGGGUUAACGCCCAGAAGAGCCGCAGUGAAUAGGCCCAAGCGACUGUUUAUCAAAAACACAGGUCUCUGCUAAACCGUAAGGUGAUGUAUAGGGGCUGACGCCUGCCCGGUGCUGGAAGGUUAAGAGGAGUGGUUAGCUUCUGCGAAGCUACGAAUCGAAGCCCCAGUAAACGGCGGCCGUAACUAUAACGGUCCUAAGGUAGCGAAAUUCCUUGUCGGGUAAGUUCCGACCCGCACGAAAGGCGUAACGAUUUGGGCACUGUCUCAACGAGAGACUCGGUGAAAUCAUAGUACCUGUGAAGAUGCAGGUUACCCGCGACAGGACGGAAAGACCCCGUGGAGCUUUACUGUAGCCUGAUAUUGAAAUUCGGCACAGCUUGUACAGGAUAGGUAGGAGCCUUUGAAACGUGAGCGCUAGCUUACGUGGAGGCGCUGGUGGGAUACUACCCUAGCUGUGUUGGCUUUCUAACCCGCACCACUUAUCGUGGUGGGAGACAGUGUCAGGCGGGCAGUUUGACUGGGGCGGUCGCCUCCUAAAAGGUAACGGAGGCGCUCAAAGGUUCCCUCAGAAUGGUUGGAAAUCAUUCAUAGAGUGUAAAGGCAUAAGGGAGCUUGACUGCGAGACCUACAAGUCGAGCAGGGUCGAAAGACGGACUUAGUGAUCCGGUGGUUCCGCAUGGAAGGGCCAUCGCUCAACGGAUAAAAGCUACCCCGGGGAUAACAGGCUUAUCUCCCCCAAGAGUUCACAUCGACGGGGAGGUUUGGCACCUCGAUGUCGGCUCAUCGCAUCCUGGGGCUGUAGUCGGUCCCAAGGGUUGGGCUGUUCGCCCAUUAAAGCGAUACGCGAGCUGGGUUCAGAACGUCGUGAGACAGUUCGGUCCCUAUCCGUCGUGGGCGUAGGAAAUUUGAGAGGAGCUGUCCUUAGUACGAGAGGACCGGGAUGGACAUACCUCUGGUGUACCAGUUGUCGUGCCAACGGCAUAGCUGGGUAGCUAUGUGUGGACGGGAUAAGUGCUGAAAGCAUCUAAGCAUGAAGCCCCCCUCAAGAUGAGAUUUCCCAACUUCGGUUAUAAGAUCCCUCAAAGAUGAUGAGGUUAAUAGGUUCGAGGUGGAAGCAUGGUGACAUGUGGAGCUGACGAAUACUAAUCGAUCGAAGACUUAAUCAA